CGGCGUGCUUAACACAUGCAAGUCGAACGGAAAGGCCCUGCUUUUGUGGGGUGCUCGAGUGGCGAACGGGUGAGUAACACGUGAGUAACCUGCCCUUGACUUUGGGAUAACUUCAGGAAACUGGGGCUAAUACCGGAUAGGAGCUCCUGCUGCAUGGUGGGGGUUGGAAAGUUUCGGCGGUUGGGGAUGGACUCGCGGCUUAUCAGCUUGUUGGUGGGGUAGUGGCUUACCAAGGCUUUGACGGGUAGCCGGCCUGAGAGGGUGACCGGCCACAUUGGGACUGAGAUACGGCCCAGACUCCUACGGGAGGCAGCAGUGGGGAAUAUUGCACAAUGGGCGGAAGCCUGAUGCAGCAACGCCGCGUGCGGGAUGACGGCCUUCGGGUUGUAAACCGCUUUCGCCUGUGACGAAGCGUGAGUGACGGUAAUGGGUAAAGAAGCACCGGCUAACUACGUG
rnacentral:rRNA from 1 species